rnacentral:rRNA from 1 species
CCUACGGGUGGCAGCAGUGAGGAAUAUUGGUCAAUGGGCGCGAGCCUGAACCAGCGAAGUAGCGUGAAGGAUGACUGCCCUACGGGUUGUACACUUCUUUUAUAAAGGAAUAAAGUGAGGCACGUGUGCCUUUUUGUAUGUACUUUAUGAAUAAUGAUCGGCUAACGCCGUUCCAGCAGCCGCGGUAAUACGGAGGAUCCGAGCCUUAUCCGGAUUUAUUGGGUUUAAAGGGAGCAUAGAUGGGUUUUUAAGUCAGUUGUGAAAGUUUGCGGCUCAACCGUAAAAUUGCAAUUGAUACUGGCAGCCUUGAGUACAGUUGAGGUAGGCGGAAUUCGUGGUGUAGCGGUGAAAUGCUUAGAUAUCACGAAGAACGCCGAUUGCGAAGGCAGCUUACUAAACUGCCACUGACAUUGAUGCUCGAAAGUGUGGGUAUCAAACAGGAUUAGAUACCCGUGUAGUC